rnacentral:rRNA from 1 species
CCUACGGGUGGCAGCAGUGAGGAAUAUUGGUCAAUGGACGCAAGUCUGAACCAGCCAUGCCGCGUGCAGGAAGACGGCUCUAUGAGUUGUAAACUGCUUUUGUACGAGGGUAAACGCAGAUACGCGUAUCUGUCUGAAAGUAUCGUACGAAUAAGGAUCGGCUAACUCCGUGCCAGCCGCCGCGGUAAUACGGAGGAUUCCAGCGUUAUCCGGAUUUAUUGGGUUUAAAGGGUGCGUAGGCGGUCGGAUAAGUUAGAGGUGAAAUCCCGAGGCUCAACUUCGGAAUUGCCUCUGAUACUGGUCGGCUAGAGAGUAGGUGCGGUAGGCGGAAUGCAUGGUGUAGCGGUGAAAUGCUUAGAGAUCAUACAGAACACCGAUUGCGAAGGCAGCUUACCAAGCCACUUCUGACGUUGAGGCACGAAAGCGUGGGGAGCGAACAGGAUUAGAUACCCGAGUAGUC